UGUUUAGAAAGUAGUAACUCCAUAGAGUUGUGUAGGCAAGAUACAGGGUUUUUACAAAAGUAAUCCAUGAAGCUUCCUGAGCCUAAAAAAGAUAAACUAGUCUGCAAAAAUAAUUGUCAAUGAAGUAAUGAAAAUAGUAUUGUUUGAAUCCGGUAGACCAAACUUUAAAUUCCAGAGCACAGAGACAGACUGACAGUCAUGAGAAAUGUACUAAAACAACAACCACAAAAGCCUGCAUUUGUAUCAACCCCAGGGAGCCAGCAGGUGCAAGUGAGAGGAGGAGGUGAGCUGGAGCUUCUCCAGAACCUUCUUCUGUGGAGCAGAGAUGCCAACACCCACCCCAGGGAUGGUGUGAGGUUAUGAGAUUAGAAAUCCAAAUGCUUAACGUGCAGCCUGGAGGAAGGACUUGGCAGUAAUUAUCAGUAUUUCUUGUCCUUUUCACUUCUGCCUCCAUUUCUUAGAAGGAAAUAAUUGGGACAUUUACACAAAAAAAAAACCCUUCCUUGAUUCAUUUUGUAAUAUUGCUAUCUGCACAAGAUAUACCUGUGUCCACAUCUCUGUCUCUGUCUCCGUCUCAAUCUCUAUCUACGUAUCUGUGUCUAUGUCAUUAUCUCUAUCUCUAUUUUUCUCUGGCUCUAGCCCUAGCUCUAUCUCCAUCUCUCACCUAUGUCUCUAUCCAUUUACUCCUGUCUAUCUAUCCAGAAAUGGAUUCAUGGGAUUGAUGUUCCCACCACCUGACAAAUAUUCUCCAGACAAAUCAGAAACCUCAGAAACUGCAUGGAUGAUGCCCCUGCUUCCAUGGCAGCCUCCUGCACCAGCUUCCCAUUGACCGGAUCGCCUCCUGAUGACAGCCGCUGUCUGGGCUUGUGGAGAGCAACCUGAGUGUGUCAGGGACCCUCAGCAAUUCGUCCUGAGAUUUCCAGGGAGUUUGGGUGACACAGGCCGCAUGACGAGGGGACUGGGAUGGAGGGAGGGCAGGCGACUGCGGUCCCAGACGGGACUCGAGGGCCAGGUGCUGCGCCACACCAAGGCAGACGGAGGCUGGUGCUGCUGGGAUACAAGUGCCCGGAGGAGAACCCUUGUGUGCGGUUCUGCGACCUCGCCAGGGUCUGCACGUGCCUUGUCGCCACCAGAUCUGCACUGUGAUCAGCCCCAUAUUCAACCACCUCUCCUGACAAGUGCUGGCAGAAUGUGGCUCCUGUCCUGGCUCGUCCUGGUGGCCUCCCUUGGCAGCAUACAAAUGCAGACAUUUUAAUAACACGACGCUUACCAUCCAUUACCAAGAAAAAAGGAAACACAGCAUUUUUAGUAUGGCAAAUAAAAACAGGUGUCUUAAGGAAGAAUGUAAAUAUAUAGUCUUAUUGACAGAGGCCAGACCAGCCUCUAAACCAAAUUCUAUGUAUUUCUUCAAAUGCAUAUGUGGCCACAGACAAAGUGUUAGUGAAGAAAGGAAAUGAAGCCAGGAAAGGACAGAGGGAUUUGCCAGCGAGCCUGAGGAUACACCGAGUUAAUGAGGCAGGUGCUGGGCUGUAUGACUGCACCUGCUGGGAUCCACUGUAUGGAAAUGCACCACUGACACUGAACAGAAGCCCUCCCACUAUGCCACACCCCCGAAAACAUAUACCUACGCCUUUCUAGCUCCCAAGGACCUGGCCACUGUCUAUACAGGACUUGUCUCCUGCAUCUGUG
ensembl:lncRNA